rnacentral:rRNA from 1 species
UACAGAGGGGGCAAGCGUUCUUCGGAAUUAUUGGGCGUAAAGGGCGCGUAGGCGGCUUUGCAAGUGACGGGUGAAAUCCCUCGGCUUAACCGAGGAACUGCCUGUCAGACUGCAUGGCUUGAGACCAGGAGAGGUGAGUGGAAUUCCCAGUGUAGCGGUGAAAUGCGUAGAUAUUGGGAGGAACACCAGUGGCGAAGGCGGCUCACUGGACUGGUACUGACGCUGAGGCGCGAAAGCGUGGGGAGCAAACAGG